rnacentral:lncRNA from 1 species
AUGUCUGGUCGUACAAAGAAGCAGGAGGCGAUGGGUUUCUUCAAACCCUAAAAUCCUUACUAAAACUCUCAAAUUGGAGGUGCAAAUCUGGUCGAAAACGAAAAUCGAGCAUAGAUUACUGAUCCCCAUUGCAAGGGGGUUGUAAGUUUGACUCUUGACAAGCUAGAUGGAGGCUUGGAAUGAAGCGGGUCAAACGAAGCAAGUACGAAAAGAAAAGCGUAAUUUGGAUGCGAGGUAAGUAAAGCUUACGCCCUCUUUUGUAAGUUAUGUGUUUAUUCAUAGGUUGUAAAUACGAUAAAAGCUAUAUUUGAAAUAUGGUUCCGACACGAAAUGAAACGGGUCGGGACAUAUAAAAUAAUGAUAAACCAUGUUUAAUGGUAAAAUGGGCGAAAUGGUAAUUGGUCACGAGAUAACAUAUAUAUAAAAUGAGUUUUUGAAUGGCUACUUAUUAAGGUAAGCCUAAACGAAUAAAAAGAGUAAAACGACGAAUUAGUCAUGUGUAGACGAAAAAGAGUUGAAGUUUAAAACAACACCAUUUAAUAUUAAGCACGAAAUAUUUGGUAGUCUAGACCAAACGGGUCAAAUGGUAAUAUUUAUACCAUUUGACAAUUAACGACUAAUAAGUGUAUGUCGAGUCUCAUGCUCGCAGGGUAAUUGGUUUAUGAAUUAGCGAGGCUAUGAAUUAGCAUAUUAUAGAGACAAGGUCUUAAAACGGGUCAAUAUGUUGACUCGAGCCAGUCUUAGGUACUCAAGGAUUAUGGGUGACGAUCAAGCAACUUUUGAAGGACCGAACACAUACUCUUGAAGCUUCCGCAUAAAUCAACUCGGUUUAAACAAUGUUUAUGAUGUAAACUGUUUGCUAAACAACUUUUGAAAUGUUUAAACGACGUACUCAAUUAUGUUAUGUUGUAUUAUUUUAAAAUUGUAAAGUUUAAACAAACCCGUAUUU